AUCUCUUGGAGUUCUAGCUCACCUUUCUAGUGUUGUUCUUGUACUCAUCUGUUUAAUCUAGUUCUGCUACUUCUUCUUGAACUUCUUGCUAGAUUUCAAGUCUGUAUUUUGUGUCCGUGACAGUUUGUCGAGACUACACUAACUUGAGAUAUCAGAGCUAGUUCUUUCUUAGUAGAGUGUGGAUUAUCCCUCUACUAGAAGGUAUACUAGCAUUUUUUAGAGGUUGCGGAUAACCCUCCUCUAAACUGAUACUUCUUCUGUUACAAUAUUGGAGUCUUAUUCUUCUUGGAGAGAGUGGAUUACCCCUCUUCUUGAAAUUCUUAAGACUUUUUAUAGGUUUGAAGACAGCAUUUACUACAGCUCCAAUUUUGGUAUAUCCAGACUUUACAAAGG
rnacentral:lncRNA from 1 species